CCUGUAGCGCAUAGGAUAGCACAUUGGACUUCUGAUCCAAAGGGCGUGGGUUCGAGUCCCACUGGCUUGA